GCAAGUCGAACGGUAAGGUCUCUUCGGAGAUACACGAGUGGCGCACGGGUGCGUAACGCGUAUACAACCUACCCUUUAGAGGAGAAUAACUUCUGGAAACGGGAGCUAAUACUCCAUAUACACUUAGUAUCGCAUGGUACAGAGUGAAGAUGCUCCGGCGCUAAAGGAUGGGUAUGCGUAACAUUAGCUAGUUGGUGAGGUAAUGGCUCACCAAGGCAACGAUGUUUAGCUGGUCUGAGAGGAUGAUC
rnacentral:rRNA from 1 species